GAGCGGGUAGAAUGCGGAAGUGGAAGAAAGCAACGAAGCCACUUUGACAGGUCCAUUCCUUUGCUAAGAAGUAAGAUUCUGUGUUCGGGAUAUUAUAAGUUCAACAUUACCAACCUUGGACCAUUUUUAAUGUGAAUGACAAGAUGUUGCAGCUGUGCUCGGUCAAAGCAAAAGUAACGGAGCUGACUCACGAUUCGCCACACCGCAUUGACCAAGGUGCUUAAGUCCUGUUUCAAUGGCGACAAAUACUUCGGAUAAUACUGCUUGUGGUCAUUUUCACAGACCUCUACUGUGGUCAACGACGCCGUGGAAAAAUACUUUCUCCUACCUGCUGCGACGCAUCCUGUUGUGGAUGCCGUUGUCCGAGCCGCUUAUCCUCACAAGGGUCGCAGGAGGGCCAGCUAACAUCGGGCGAAAGGCAUACUGCGCCCUGAAACGGUUGCCAGUAAAUCACAUGGCACAUAUCGACACGCUGCCCCCACCAAAGUCAGACCGCGCUUGCCCUCGCACGCAGGAAAGGAGGAGAGCCGCGGUCGACGAGGAUCUUUGCCGCCGUUGGCCGAGCCCCGGGAGAACAGUAAAACACACACAAUGAACGCAGUCGCGCCGGAGCUGCUUUGGGCCACAGCUCGCACCCGGAGACUCACGGGCAGACUUGUAACCCCCACCAGGGCUCCGCCCCUUAAGGCACAUACCUGUGCACGUACUCCGUUUCCGCAGCGUGUAAUUUUUUUUGUGUGUGUUCAUUUUAUGCUUCCAAUUAUGUUCAAAUGUUUUUCAGCUAUUGCAGGUUAGUCUGGAUCACAUCCCGGACAAUUGUUUUUAUUUGGGUUUGUCCUCCCCAACCCCACAUAUAAAAACAUUUUCUUUUUUCUUUUUUUCUUUAGACAUUAAGACCAAGUUUUCUUAGCAAGUAAGCUUUAUUGAAUUGUUUUGAUUUGGAACACAAGGUGUUUGGAGAUUGCAUUAUCCAUUUUAACAUUCCAGUUAAUCUGGUAACCACGACAACCGCGUCACCACAUUUUCUAACUCUUUCCAUGGUAUUUCUCAAAGACUUGAUGUAUAGAACACGUUUAUGGAAAAGGAGUGCCAAUUAUUAUAUUGGCCAAUAAGCAAACAUCAUGACGUUGCAGGAUCAAGACUAAAUAUGUACUUGGAUUGUAUUUGUAGACGCAAUAUUAAAAUAGUUCAACUCGGAUUGAGUCACACAUGG